rnacentral:rRNA from 1 species
UACGUAGGGUGCGAGCGUUAAUCGGAAUUACUGGGCGUAAAGCGUGCGCAGGCGGUCUGUUAAGACCGAUGUGAAAUCCCCGGGCUUAACCUGGGAAUGGCAAUGGAUACUGGAUAGCUAGAGUGUGAUAGAGGAUGGUGGAAUUCCCGGUGUAGCGGUGAAAUUCGUAGAUAUCGGGAGGAACACCAGUGGCGAAGGCGGCGAUCUGGGCAGAUACUGACGCUGAGGUGCGAAAGCGUGGGGAGCAAACAGG